rnacentral:rRNA from 1 species
GACGAACGCUGGCGGCGUGCUUAACACAUGCAAGUCGAACGAUGAAGCCGGAGCUUGCUCCGGUGGAUUAGUGGCGAACGGGUGAGUAACACGUGAGCAAUCUGCUCUUGACUCUGGGAUAACUGCGGGAAACUGUAGCUAAUACCGGAUACGACACCUUGGGGCAUCCCAGGGUGUGGAAAGAAUUUCGGUCAAGGAUGAGCUCGCGGCCUAUCAGCUAGUUGGUGAGGUAAUGGCUCACCAAGGCGACGACGGGUAGCCGGCCUGAGAGGGUGACCGGCCACACUGGAACUGCGACACGGUCCAGACUCCUACGAGAGGCAGCAGUGGAGAAUAUUGCACAAUGGGCGAAAGCCUGAGUCAGCAACGCCGCGUGAGGGAUGAAGGCCUUCGGGUUGUAAACCUCUUUUAGCACCGACGAAGCGCAAGUGACGGUAGGUGCAGAAGAAGGACCGGCCAACUACGUGCCAGCCGCCGCGGUAA